rnacentral:rRNA from 1 species
AACGAACGCUGGCGGCAUGCCUAAUACAUGCAAGUCGAACGAAGGCUUCGGCCUUAGUGGCGCACGGGUGCGUAACGCGUGGGAAUCUACCCUUGGGUUCGGAAUAACAGUUAGAAAUGACUGCUAAUACCGGAUGAUGACGUAAGUCCAAAGAUUUAUCGCCCAAGGAUGAGCCCACGUAAGAUUAGCUAGUUGGUGAGGUAAAGGCUCACCAAGGCUACGAUCUUUAGCUGGUCUGAGAGGAUGAUCAGCCACACUGGGACUGAGACACGGCCCAGACUCCUACGGGAGGCAGCAGUAGGGAAUAUUGGACAAUGGGCGAAAGCCUGAUCCAGCAAUGCCGCGUGAGUGAUGAAGGCCCUCGGGUCGUAAACUCUUUUCAAGAGGAAGAGGAAGGACGGUACUCUUGGAAUAAGCCUCGGCUAACUACGUG